rnacentral:rRNA from 1 species
UACGUAGGGAGCGAGCGUUGUCCGGAUUCAUUGGGCGUAAAGAGCUCGUAGGCGGCUUGGCAAGUCGGGUGUGAAAACUCCAGCUCAACCUGGAGACGCCACCCGAUACUGCCAUGGCUAGAGUCCGGUAGGGGACCACGGAAUUCCUGGUGUAGCGGUGAAAUGCGUAGAGAUCGGAAAGAACACCAACGGCGAAAGCACUCUGCUGGGCCGACACUGACACUGAGAGACGAAAGCUAGGGGAGCGAAUGGG